rnacentral:rRNA from 1 species
GUGAGAAUGUUGGCAUGAGUAGCGAGAUGUGGGUGAGAAUCCCACAGGCCGUAAACCCAAGGUUUCCAGGGGAAGGUUCGUCCGCCCUGGGUUAGUCGGGACCUAAGCUGAGGCCGAAAGGCGUAGGGGAUGGACAACAGGUUGAUAUUCCUGUACUACCGAUAACCGUUUGAGAGAAGGGAUGACACAGUAGGAUAAGCUAAGCACACUGUUGGUUAUGUGUGCCCAAGCAUUGAGGCAGUCAAAGUAGGCAAAUCCGCUUUGAUAAUGCUGGGAUGUGAUGGGGAGCGAAAUUUAGUAGCGAAGUAGCUGAUUUCACACUGUCAAGAAAAGUCUCUAUCGAGGUUAAAGGUACCCGUACCGCAAACCGACACAGGUGGGUGAGGAGAGUAUCCUAAGGCCA